GGACCUGCAGGUCCAUGGUAAGGCCUGCACAUCAGGCCUGUGCUGAGGGCACAGGGCAGAGCUGAAGGCAAGGCCUGCAGCCCACGCAGAGCACGUGGCAGAGCUGGAGGCCCUGCAGCCUUGUCAGUCGGGCUGUCAGUCAAGGCAGGGCUGCCUGGCAGCUCGCCCGCACCACACCCCUGCAGCCUGUGACUGCCUACAGCACAACUCAGCUGGGGCUGGAAAGCGCUGGUGGGAUAUCCUGCCGGGGAGGGAAAACUGAACUCUAGAAAUACAUGACACUCCAUGUGGUCUCUUUCUUCUCCCUCUCCUGCCGGCACCAUGUGAAUUGUCGAAUCUUGUCGCACAAGGGAAGAGAGAAGCCACAGGGCCUUCUAAGAAUGCUAUUUUUGCUCCUUGGUUCAUUCAUGGAUUCAGCUGUGAUGGAUGACUGACAGAAUAUGUCCCUCAAACCACACACAACAGUCAUAACAAAAGAGAUGCCCUUGCAUGUUGUACAGUGCGUGGGACAACACAGCUGUGCUAUUGAAUAUAUGGACCAUCACAGAACAGCUUAGAGGGAGAGAGUCAAGAAAGGAACCAGGAAUUCCACAUUUGGGUCAAGUUACUGACAUGACUGAUUCUACCAGCAAAUAAACAUGGGGAAAAGAACAAG